UUCGCAAUGCCCGAAAGGGUGACGAAGCUACGCCGCGUGUGGGAAGAAGGCCUUCGGGUUGUAAACCACUGUCGGGAGUUAAGAAAUGCAAGGAUAUUAAUAGUGUCUUUGUUUGACUAAGGCUCCGGAGGAAGCCACGGCUAACUCUGUGCCAGCAGCCGCGGUAAUACAGAGGCGGCAAGCGUUGUUCGGAAUUAUUGGGCGUAAAGAGCACGUAGGCGGCUAUGUAAGUCGGUUGUGAAAGCCUUCCGCUCAACGGGAGAACAGCAUCCGAUACUACAUGGCUUGAGUGCGGGAGGGGAGAGUGGAACUUCUGGUGGAGCGGUGAAAUGCGUAGAUAUCAGAAGGAACGCCGGCGGCGAAAGCGGCUCUCUGGCCCAUAACUGACGCUGAGUGUGCGAAAGCUAGGGGAGCAAACGGGAUUAGAUACCCCGGUAGUCCUAGCCGUAAACGAUGGGCACUAAGUAGAGGGGUUUU
rnacentral:rRNA from 1 species